rnacentral:rRNA from 1 species
CAGCAGUCACGGGAAUACAGAGGGUGCGAGCGUUAAUCGGAUUUACUGGGCGUAAAGCGUGCGUAGGCGGCUUCUUAAGUCGGAUGUGAAAUCCCUGAGCUUAACUUAGGAAUUGCAUUCGAUACUGGGAAGCUAGAGUAUGGGAGAGGAUGGUAGAAUUCCAGGUGUAGCGGUGAAAUGCGUAGAGAUCUGGAGGAAUACCGAUGGCGAAGGCAGCCAUCUGGCCUAAUACUGACGCUGAGGUACGAAAGCAUGGGGAGCAAACAGGAUUAGAUACCCCCGUAGUCCCUGUCUCUUAUAC